AGUAUUUUUGUGUUAUCAAGUCAGAUUAAGAUAUUUCUUAAAUGCUUUAAUUCCAACCUACGCGAAAAAGCAACCUCUUUUAUAAUGCUUCUGUAGAAAGCAGUAGAAUGUGGUAUGAAAAGUAAUAACUCAAAUGUUACCAGUAAAGCUUAAAGGACAACUGUUACCUCAACACUAUUUAAUAUUAUCUUUCAUCACGUUUUGAAAGGAAAUAGAUUUUUUUUAAUAUUAAGUAUAUGUAAAUAAGUGAGACAAACUCACCCCUAUCUUUAGUAUAUGACUGGAGGUUUCAGCCAUAUUCAUGCACCUUGGGUCGGACAGUGUUUGGAAAACAACAGUUAGUCUCUAUGGUCUUCCCUGCUAAUGUGCAAAGACUGUCGUUUUUCAAACAGUGUCUGACCCAAGGUGCAUAUAUAUAUGGCUGAAAGAUCUGGUCAUGUACUGAAGGUAAGGAAGAGUUUUAAUAUACUUUAUUUUAAAAAGAAAAACAAUCCUUUUAUAAUUCAAUGAAAGGAUAAUUACAUUAAAAAUUGUUUUGAG